GAUGAACGCUGGCGGCGUGCCUAAUACAUGCAAGUCGAGCGAACGGACGAGAAGCUUGCUUCUCUGAUGUUAGCGGCGGACGGGUGAGUAACACGUGGAUAACCUACCUAUAAGACUGGGAUAACUUCGGGAAACCGGAGCUAAUACCGGAUAAUAUUUUGAACCGCAUGGUUCAAAAGUGAAAGACGGUCUUGCUGUCACUUAUAGAUGGAUCCGCGCUGCAUUAGCUAGUUGGUAAGGUAACGGCUUACCAAGGCAACGAUGCAUAGCCGACCUGAGAGGGUGAUCGGCCACACUGGAACUGAGACACGGUCCAGACUCCUACGGGAGGCAGCAGUAGGGAAUCUUCCGCAAUGGGCGAAAGCCUGACGGAGCAACGCCGCGUGAGUGAUGAAGGUCUUCGGAUCGUAAAACUCUGUUAGUAGGGAAGAACAUAUGUGUAAGUAACUGUGCAUAUCUUGACGGUACCUAAUCAGAAAGCCACGGCUAACUACGUG
rnacentral:rRNA from 1 species